AUAUGAAAAAAUAUUAUGUGGUGCCAAUUUUGAGAUCGGAGCAAAAAUGACAAAAGAUAAAGAGAAAAAAAUGAAUUGUUGAGUCGUUGUAUGCAACAAGUUGAUAUAUCAACCUUACCAAAAAAAACAAGUUGAUAUAUCAAAAGGGGAUACUAUUGGGGAUAGAGUAGAAUCUCUUGUGAUAUAUUUUGUGACAGAGUUAUGUCCUAUAAUUUAGGGAUUCGAGUUUAUUUUAUACGAUGACUCUCUUGUAUAAAUAUCACACUUUGUGAAUCAAUAAACUCAAGUUAGUGCAAUACCUAAUUCUACAGAUACUUUUGACAAAUUUUCACAUCAUAACUCUACCAUAGUUUUUUCGUUUUGGCAAACAUUCUACC
rnacentral:sRNA from 1 species